UACGAAGGGGGCUAGCGUUGCUCAGAAUGACUGGGCGUAAAGGGCGCGUAGGCGGAUUGUACAGUCAGGCGUGAAAUUCCCGGGCUCAACCUGGGGGCUGCGUUUGAUACGUGCGGGCUUGAGUUCGGAAGAGGGUCGUGGAAUUCCCAGUGUAGAGGUGAAAUUCGUAGAUAUUGGGAAGAACACCGGUGGCGAAGGCGGCUCCCUGGACCAGAACUGACGCUGAAGCACGAAAGCGUGGGGAGCAAACAGG
rnacentral:rRNA from 1 species